UACGUAGGGUGCGAGCGUUGUCCGGAAUUAUUGGGCGUAAAGAGCUUGUAGGCGGUUUGUCGCGUCUGCCGUGAAAAUUCGAGGCUCAACCUCGAACUUGCGGUGGGUACGGGCAGACUAGAGUGUGGUAGGGGAGACUGGAAUUCCUGGUGUAGCGGUGAAAUGCGCAGAUAUCAGGAGGAACACCGGUGGCGAAGGCGGUGGUCUGGGCCGGAACUGACGCUGAGGAGCGAAAGCGUGGGGAGCGAACAGG
rnacentral:rRNA from 1 species